rnacentral:rRNA from 1 species
AGAGUUUGAUCCUGGCUCAGAUUGAACGCUGGCGGCAUGCCUUACACAUGCAAGUCGAACGGUAACAGGUCUUCGGAUGCUGACGAGUGGCGAACGGGUGAGUAAUACAUCGGAACGUGCCCGAUCGUGGGGGAUAACGAGGCGAAAGCUUUGCUAAUACCGCAUACGAUCUACGGAUGAAAGCGGGGGAUCUUCGGACCUCGCGCGGACGGAGCGGCCGAUGGCAGAUUAGGUAGUUGGUGGGAUAAAAGCUUACCAAGCCGACGAUCUGUAGCUGGUCUGAGAGGAUGAUCAGCCACACUGGGACUGAGACACGGCCCAGACUCCUACGGGAGGCAGCAGUGGGGAAUUUUGGACAAUGGGCGAAAGCCUGAUCCAGCCAUGCCGCGUGCAGGAUGAAGGCCUUCGGGUUGUAAACUGCUUUUGUACGGAACGAAAAGCCUCUUUCUAAUAAAGAGGGGUCAUGACGGUACCGUAAGAAUAAGCACCGGCUAACUACGUGCCAGCAGCCGCGGUAAUACGUAGGGUGCAAGCGUUAAUCGGAAUUACUGGGCGUAAAGCGUGCGCAGGCGGUUUUGUAAGACAGAGGUGAAAUCCCCGGGCUCAACCUGGGAACUGCCUUUGUGACUGCAAGGCUGGAGUGCGGCAGAGGGGGAUGGAAUUCCGCGUGUAGCAGUGAAAUGCGUAGAUAUGCGGAGGAACACCGAUGGCGAAGGCAAUCCCCUGGGCCUGCACUGACGCUCAUGCACGAAAGCGUGGGGAGCAAACAGGAUUAGAUACCCCGGUA